GGUACUUGAUGCCUUGGCUUCAUGCCAUAGUAUUGCAUUUGACAAAACUGGUACAUUGACAACAGGGGAGUUCAUGUGCAAAGCAAUUGAACCGAUACAUGGACAUGCUAAGAGUGUUGGAAAAGGAUUUGCUUCUUGUUGUAACCCCAGUUGUGAGAAAGAAGCACUUGCUGUUGCAGCUGCAAUGGAGAGGGGUACAACUCACCCAAUUGGAAGGGCUGUUGUAGAUCAUAGCACAGGCAAAGACCUUCCUUCAAUUUCAGUUGAAAGUUUUGAGAAUUUACCUGGUAGAGGCAUAAUUGCAACAUUAUCGAGCUUUGAGCCAAGACUAGGAGGUGGUAAGCCAUGGAAAGCUUUUCUUGGUUCUGUGGAAUACAUCACCUCACUUUGCGACUCCGAAGAUGAAUCAAGAAGAGUUGAGGAGGCAGUAAGUACGUCAUCUCAUGGAGUUGAUUUUGUCCGUGCUGCUCUCUCGGUUAAUAAUCAAAAGGUAACUCUUUUUCACUUUGAGGAUAAACCUCGACCUGGAGUUUUAGAUGUCAUACAGACAUUGCAGAAUCAAGCUAAACUUCGUGUCAUAAUGUUAACUGGUGACCAUAAAGCAAGUGCAAAGAGAGUUGCUCAAACAGUGGGCAUCAAAGAAGUUAACUGCAGCCUAAAGCCAGAGGAUAAACUUUAUCAUGUUACAAGCAUCUCUAGGGAUACAGGAGGCCUUAUAAUGGUAGGUGACGGCAUCAAUGAUGCCCCAGCACUUGCUGCAGCUACUGUUGGUAUUGUACUGGCUGAGCGAGCUAGUGCCGCUGCGAUAGCUGUUGCUGAUGUACUAUUGUUGCAAGACAAUAUUUCUGGUGUCCCAUUUUGUGUUGCAAAAUCUCGCCAAACAACAUCCUUGAUCAAGCAAAAUGUAGUACUUGCUUUGUGUAGCAUUAUUUUGGCAUCUCUUACAUCAGUUAUGGGGUUCCUCCCACUCUGGUUGACGGUGCUCUUGCAUGAAGGUGGCACACUUCUUGUUUGUCUUAAUUCCGUUCGUGCGCUAAACCCUCCGACAUGGUCAUGGAGAGAGGAUAUUUCACAAAUCAUUGACAGAUUGCGGUCUCUUAUUAUGUUUUUGAGGCAUGGCACACUACCUAGCACCAUUCAGGCAGCCCAUUUGUAAUUUUUGACUUGCCUUUAGCUGCCCAACUCCCCAAUGCGAUGGAAUGAAGAAUAAUUUCUUCUUGCCGAACAAAGCGAGGAUUCAAGAUGUGAAGAACACUGCACCUAGCAUGUUGAAUUGCCUCAUCAAGUAGAUCGUCAGUCAUGUGUAUAUUCUUAUCCCAUGUUUCUGGUCUGGACUUUCCAUGGUAUAAGAACUAUAUUGAAAUUUUUACUGUAAAAAGUGAUAUGUUGAUGUAGCCAGCAAACUAUUUUAAUGCAGGAC
rnacentral:misc_RNA from 1 species